rnacentral:SRP_RNA from 1 species
GCUGGGUGUGGUGGUGGACACCUGUAGUCCCAGCUACUCGGGAGGCUGAGGCAGGAGAAUUGCUUGAACCCAGGAGGUGGAGGAUGCAGUGAGCCAAGAUUGGGCCACUGCACUCCAGCCUGGGAGACAGAGUGAGACUCUGUCUCAA